rnacentral:hammerhead_ribozyme from 1 species
ACAAAGCUGACGAGUCCCAAAUAGGACGAAACGCGCGUUCUGUAU